AGAGUUUGAUCCUGGCUCAGGACGAACGCUGGCGGCGUGCUUAACACAUGCAAGUCGAACGGAGUUAGACGCUGGAUUGAUGGUAGCUUGCUACCGGAUUUCCUGUUUAACUUAGUGGCGGACGGGUGAGUAACGCGUGAGUAACCUGCCCCGGAGUGGGGAAUAACGUUCUGAAAAGAUCGCUAAUACCGCAUAACACAUACAGAUCGCAUGGUCGGUAUGUCAAAGAUUUAUCGCUCUGGGAUGGACUCGCGUCCGAUUAGCUUGUUGGCGGGGUAACGGCCCACCAAGGCGACGAUCGGUAGCCGGACUGAGAGGUUGAACGGCCACAUUGGGACUGAGACACGGCCCAGACUCCUACGGGAGGCAGCAGUGGGGAUAUUGCGCAAUGGGGAAACCCUGACGCAGCAACGCCGCGUGGAGGAUGACGGUUUCGGAUUGUAAACUCCUUUAUGGGGACGAACUAAGACGGUACCCAUGAAUAAGCUCCGGCUAACUACGUGCC
rnacentral:rRNA from 1 species